rnacentral:rRNA from 1 species
GACGAACGCUGGCGGCGUGCCUAAUACAUGCAAGUAGAACGCACAGUUUAUACCGUAGCUUGCUACACCAUAGACUGUGAGUUGCGAACGGGUGAGUAACGCGUAGGUAACCUGCCUGGUAGCGGGGGAUAACUAUUGGAAACGAUAGCUAAUACCGCAUAAUAUUAAUUAUUGCAUGAUAAUUAAUUGAAAGGUGCAAUUGCACCACUACCAGAUGGACCUGCGUUGUAUUAGCUAGUAGGUGAGGUAACGGCUCACCUAGGCGACGAUACAUAGCCGACCUGAGAGGGUGAUCGGCCACACUGGGACUGAGACACGGCCCAGACUCCUACGGGAGGCAGCAGUAGGGAAUCUUCGGCAAUGGACGAAAGUCUGACCGAGCAGCGCCGCGUGAGUGAAGAAGGUUUUCGGAUCGUAAAGCUCUGUUGUAAGAGAAGAACGGGUGUGAGAGUGGAAAGUUCACACUGUGACGGUAUCUUACCAGAAAGAGACGGCUAACUACGUG